rnacentral:rRNA from 1 species
ACGUAGGUGGCAAGCGUUGUCCGGAUUUAUUGGGUUUAAAGGGUGCGUAGGCGGUCUUGUAAGUCAGUUCUGAAAUAUCCCGGCUUAACCGGGAGGGUGGGAUUGAUACUGCAGGACUUGAGUGGAGUCGAGGUAGGCGGAAUUGACGGUGUAGCGGUGAAAUGCUUAGAUAUCGUCAAGAACACCGAUAGUGUAGACAGCUUACUAGGCUCAAACUGACGCUGAGGCACGAAAGCGUGGGGAGCAAACAGGAUUAGAUACCCUUGUAGUCC